AAAUUACUCACUAGUAGCCCAUUGUAGUCUUGCCAUAGUGACCGUCUCCCAUUAUAAUCAGCAAGAUUAAAAAGACAAUAUCUGUGAAGAUCUCUAUGGCUGACAAGUGAGUGCCCAUGGGAGAGAGAAGACCUUCUUCCACAAUGUACUGGGAUGGAGGCAGAUCCUGAGCCCAGAGAGUCACCCUUAUGAAUGGUGGCAGGCCAGGGUAAUCUUCUCUAUGAAAAUAGGGAUCUUUUCAGUCUUGUCCAUCUCUGUACCAUCAACAGCUAUCACAAUGCUGGUACAAAAAGCACAACAGCACUUACCAAAUCAUACCUGAAAAGGACUUUUGUCAGCUGUGAAUGAAAGAAACUGCUUGCUGUUGGUUUGAAGCCAGAAAGCACUAGAAGGUGUUUCAGCAGACAUGGUACUUCCCUUCCUAGAGGUCAGAGGAAGUGCCAGAGCAGAGUCUUCUUCCUUCUGACCUUUGCCUGUGGAUUUGAGAAAAAGCAACCAUUUAAGAACUUAAAAUGUAAACUCACUUGGGAUAGAGAAAGUCUGGUUAUCCUCUGAUUAAAGAAUAAAAA